UACAGAGGGGGCAAGCGUUGUUCGGAAUUACUGGGCGUAAAGGGCGCGUAGGCGGCCUGCUAAGUCGAACGUGAAAUCCCUGGGCUCAACCCAGGAACUGCGUCCGAUACUGGUUGGCUUGAAUCCGGGAGAGGGAUGUGGAAUUCCAGGUGUAGCGGUGAAAUGCGUAGAUAUCUGGAGGAACACCGGUGGCGAAGGCGACAUCCUGGACCGGCAUUGACGCUGAGGCGCGAAAGCCAGGGGAGCAAACGGA
rnacentral:rRNA from 1 species